rnacentral:rRNA from 1 species
CACGUAGGGGGCGAGCGUUGUCCGGAUUUAUUGGGCGUAAAGAGCUCGUAGGCGGCUCGGUAAGUCAGGUGUGAAAACUCUAGGCUCAACCUAGAGACGCCACCUGAUACUGCUGUGGCUAGAGUCCGGUAGGGGAGCAUGGAAUUCCUGGUGUAGCGGUGAAAUGCGCAGAUAGUCAGGAGGAACACCAGUGGCGAAGGCGGUGCUCUGGGCCGGAACUGACGCUGAGGAGCGAAAGCGUGGGGAGCAAACAGG